GUGUAGCCCCACUCCAGGUGUAGCCUUGCUCCAGGUGUAGCCUUGCUCCGGGUGUAGCCUUGCUCCAGGUGUAGCCGUGCUCCGCGUAUAACCCUGCUCCGGGUCUAGCCCUCCUCCAGGUGUAGCCGUGCUCCGGUUGUAUCCGUGCUCCGGUUGUUGUCGCGGCGCUGACGCUGCCCCCCCCCCCCCCCCCCAAGAUGCGGCGCCUGAUCACGCGUGGCGAGUGGCAGUCGGAGCAGCAGGACACCAUGAAAACCGGCUCCUCCACCAACAACAACGAGGAGGAGAAGUCGCGCCUCCUCGAGAAGGAGAACCGCGAGCUCGAGCGCAUCAUCGCCGAGGUGCGGGGGCCGCCCCAUAGCGCGCCUCAGGCUGCCCCAUAGCGCGGGUUGGGCCGCCCCAUGGCGGGGGUUGGGCCGCCUCAUAGCGGGGAUAGGGUUGCCUCAUAGCAGGGCUUGGGCUGCCCCAUAGCACACCUUGGGCUGCCCCAUAGUGGGGGUUGGGCUGCCCCACAGAGAUGGUGGGUCGCCCCAUAGCGCGGGUUGGGCUGCCCCAUAGCGGGGUCAGGACGCCCCAUAGAGGCACAGGGCUGCCCCAUAGAGGGGGUGGGACACCCCACAGAGCUUCAGGACACCCCAUAGCGGGGUCAGGACGCCCCAUAGAGGUAGUGGGGCACCCCAUAGAGGGGUCAGGACGCCCCAUAGCGGGGUCAGGAUGCCCCAUAGAGGGGUCAGGAUGCCCCAUAGAGGGGGUGGGACACCCCACAGAGCUUUAGGACGCCCCAUAGCGGGGUCAGGACGCCCCAUAGAGGGGGUGGGAUGCCCCAUAGAGGCCAUGGGACACCCCACAGAGGUUCAGGACGCCCCAUAGAGAAAACAGGACGCCCCAUAGAGGGGAUGGGUCACCCCACAGAGCUUCAGGACACCCCAUAGAGGAGGUGGGAUGCCCCAUAGAGGGGAUGGCUCACCCCAUAGCAGGGUCAGGACGCCCCAUAGAGGGGAUGGCUCACCCCAUAGCAAUUCAGGGGCACCCCACAGAGCUUCAGGACGCCCCAUAGAGAAAACAGGACGCCCC
rnacentral:lncRNA from 1 species